GCCCUGCAUGCAGGCAGUACACACCACCGUCGCUGACUGGCGGUGGUGUUGCAGCAGGCGAGGUUAGCCUGGCGUGCAUGUUUCCUUCGGUGGUGGGCCUGUGAACAACCUGUUCUGAUUUCCCGAUCAAGGAAACGCACCGACGCUGUAAGUGUUAUCCGGUCUAAUGACCAAUGACGCAACUGUCUGCCUUUGGGAUGCAAUUGUUUGCGCGACAGACGUCGAAGGACCGAGACACGCCGGCAUAUCACCCGCUCAACUGAGCCAGUCAAGGGCAAGCAUCGGCACGGGAUAAAAUUUCUACCCCGGCGAAGCCGUCCCCGCAGAUGACCAGGCAGCGCACGGCGGGUCAGCGCCGGCCUUCAGUGGACGGAGGAUGCAAAAAUAAAACAAAAUAAAAAGUAAGGGCGAGGGUAGGGGUGGCAGGGAGAAAGGUGAGGCCGCGGGAGUUGUGCCAUCGCGACUGCACCGCCCGGUCUCCCUGGAAACCGAAACCGACAACAAUGGCAGAGCGUGGGGGACAAGAGCGGCGCGCGCGCGACACGCCAUGAUUAUUUCAGGGGUGGGCGACAGCAGCCGGCCGGCGCACCACCGAGAGAGGGGCCCGGUCGGGAUGCUCGGUGCCGUUCGGCUGGCGCGACAGUGCGUGCAUACAUACAGAGCCGCGCAGUGCCGCAAGACACGCGCGAUGAGCCAUUUUACCGCCGGGAUGACUUGCCAAAGCAAGAUGGUGAAGCAGAACAGGGCGACGGGUGAUUAAUAUGUUGGCGAAAAUCAAGUUUCCUGCUCCUUACACUAUAGCAAGUGCCAGGACCG